UAAAACUCCUAAACCCCUGUGAACUUACUGGUGUUUGGCUCGCCAGAUAUAGUCUGGUCCGUAAGCAAAUCGACUGCCUGCCUGUGUAACAGGCAGGUAAGCUUUUGUCGCGGGGUCCCGGAUCAACCCGGGCUAGAUAGCCACUUAACUAUAUACUUUUUAUAAAAUCUGUGAACUUACUAGGUUGGAUUCUCGCCAGAGAUAGUCUGGUUUCUGCUUCGCGGAUCGCCUACCCGUGACACCUGUCACAGGCAGGUAUGCUUCUGCCGCGGGUCCGUAAGUAAAUCAUCUGUUUCGCAAGGGACGGCGAUUUACCUGUGGAAGAGGUCCUCUAACUAUAUUCUUAGUAUAGUUUGUUCACUAGAUCAAACAUUCUGAAUAAAAACUUAAACUAGUUAAAACUUUCAACAACGGAUCUCUUGGUUCUGGCAUCGAUGAAGAACGCAGCGAAAUGCGAUAAGUAAUGUGAAUUGCAGAAUUCAGUGAAUCAUCGAAUCUUUGAACGCACAUUGCGCCCAUUAGUAUUCUAGUGGGCAUGCCUGUUCGAGCGUCAUUUCAACCCUUAAGCCCCUGUUGCUUAGCGUUGGGAGCCUACAGCCUGCUGUAGCUCCUUAAAGGUAGUGGCGGAGUCGGUUCACACUCUAGACGUAGUAAAAUCUUUAUCUCGCCUAUGGAUGAGCCGGCGCCUUGCCGUAAAACCCCUAAUCUUUCACAAGGUUGACCUCGGAUCAGGUAGGAAUACCCGCUGAACUUAAGCAUAUCAAUAAGCGGAGGAAAAGAAACCAACAGGGAUUGCCCUAGUAACGGCGAGUGAAGCGGCAACAGCUCAAAUUUGAAAUCUGGCCUUCGGGUCCGAGUUGUAAUUUGCAGAGGAUGCUUUGGGCGCGGUGCCUUCCGAGUUCCCUGGAACGGGACGCCUUAGAGGGUGAGAGCCCCGUACGGUUGGACACCAAGCCUCUGUAAAGCUCCUUCGACGAGUCGAGUAGUUUGGGAAUGCUGCUCUAAAUGGGAGGUAAAUUUCUUCUAAAGCUAAAUAUUGGCCAGAGACCGAUAGCGCACAAGUAGAGUGAUCGAAAGAUGAAAAGCACUUUGAAAAGAGGGUUAAAUAGCACGUGAAAUUGUUGAAAGGGAAGCGUUUACGACCAGACCUUUUCGCAGCGGAUCAUCCGGUGUUCUCACCGGUGCACUUCGCUGGGUUGAGGCCAGCAUCGGUUUCCGCAGGGGGAUAAAAGCCUGGGGAACGUAGCUCCCUCGGGAGUGUUAUAGCCCCUCGCAUAAUACCCUUGCGGGGACCGAGGACCGC
rnacentral:rRNA from 1 species